rnacentral:rRNA from 1 species
AUUCAGCGGCGGACGGGUGAGUAAUGCCUAGGAAUCUGCCUGGUAGUGGGGGACAACGUUUCGAAAGGAACGCUAAUACCGCAUACGUCCUACGGGAGAAAGCAGGGGACCUUCGGGCCUUGCGCUAUCAGAUGAGCCUAGGUCGGAUUAGCUAGUUGGUGAGGUAAUGGCUCACCAAGGCGACGAUCCGUAACUGGUCUGAGAGGAUGAUCAGUCACACUGGAACUGAGACACGGUCCAGACUCCUACGGGAGGCAGCAGUGGGGAAUAUUGGACAAUGGGCGAAAGCCUGAUCCAGCCAUGCCGCGUGUGUGAAGAAGGUCUUCGGAUUGUAAAGCACUUUAAGUUGGGAGGAAGGGCAUUAACCUAAUACGUUAGUGUUUUGACGUUACCGACAGAAUAAGCACCGGCUAACUCUGUGCCAGCAGCCGCGGUAAUACAGAGGGUGCAAGCGUUAAUCGGAAUUACUGGGCGUAAAGCGCGCGUAGGUGGUUUGUUAAGUUGGAUGUGAAAGCCCCGGGCUCAACCUGGGAACUGCAUCCAAAACUGGCAAGCUAGAGUACGGUAGAGGGUGGUGGAAUUUCCUGUGUAGCGGUGAAAUGCGUAGAUAUAGGAAGGAACACCAGUGGCGAAGGCGACCACCUGGACUGAUACUGACACUGAGGUGCGAAAGCGUGNGGAGCAAACAGGAUUAGAUACCCUGGUAGUCCACGCCGU